AUGAACGCUGGCGGCGUGCCUCAUCCAUGCCAGUCGAGCGAACGGACGAGAAGCUUGCUUCUCUGAUGUUAUCGGCGGACGGGUGAGUAACACGUGGAUAACCUACCUAUAAGACUGGGAUAACUUCGGGAAACCGGAGCUAAUACCGGAUAAUAUUUUGAACCGCAUGGUUCAAAAGUGAAAGACGGUCUUGCUGUCACUUAUAGAUGGAUCCACGCUGCAUUAGCUAGUUGGUAAGGUAACGGCUUACCAAGGCAACGAUGCAUAGCCGACCUGAGAGGGUGAUCGGCCACACUGGAACUGAGACACGGUCCAGACUCCUACGGGAGGCAGCAGUAGGGAAUCUUCCGCAAUGGGCGAAAGCCUGACGGAGCAACGCCGCGUGAGUGAUGAAGGUCUUCGGAUCGUAAAACUCUGUUAUUAGGGAAGAACAUAUGUGUAAGUAACUGUGCACAUCUUGACGGUACCUAAUCAGAAAGCCACGGCUAACUACGUG
rnacentral:rRNA from 1 species